AUGGUGGCCAUCACGGUGCCCAUCUCGGUGGAAGCGAUCCCUCUGGUGAAAUGCGCACAUGCGGCGGCGGCCGCGGUGCCGAGCGUCGACCUGUCGGCGCCGGGCGCUGCGGCGGCCGUGGCGGACGCGUGCCGCGGCGUCGGCUUCUUCAGGGUGACCAACCACGGCGUGCCGGCGGCCCUCGCGGACGCGCUGGAGGAACGCGCCGCGGCCUUCUUCGCGCUGCCGCACAAGGACAAGCUGGAGGCGUCGGCGCGGCCCUUGGGCUACGGCAGCAAGAGCAUCGGCUGCAACGGCGACGUGGGCUGGCUCGAGUACAUCCUGCUCUCCGUCGGGUCCGGCUCCGUCGCGGCGGCCUCCCUGCCGGCGUCGCUCCGGGCGGCGCUCGAGGAGUACACGGACGCGGUGCGGGAGGUGGGCGCGCGGGUGCUGGAGCUCAUGGCGGAUGGGCUCGGCGUCGCGGAGGAGCACCGCGGCGUGCUGCGGCGGAUGGUGGCGCCGGACGAAGCCGACGAGAUGGUGCGCGUGAACCACUACCCGCCGUGCCCCUGCCCCCUGGCGGCGGGGCAGCGCGGCGUGACGGGGUUCGGGGAGCACACGGACCCGCAGAUCAUCUCCGUGCUCCGGUCCAACCGCAUCGGGGGCCUCCAGAUCAUGCUGCCGGACGGCCGCUGGGUCCCCGUGGCCCCCGACCCCGAUUCCCUCUUCGUCAAUGUCGGGGACUCCCUCCAGGUGCUGACCAACGGGCGGUUCCAGAGCGUGAAGCACCGGGUGGUGGCGCCGGCGGAGGGGCAGCAGUCGCGGCUGUCGGUGAUCUACUUCGGCGGGCCGGCACCGGCGCAGCGCAUCGCGCCGCUGCCGGAGCUGAUGCGUGAAGGUGAGCGGAGCCUGUACAGGGACUUCACCUGGGCCGAGUACAAGAAGGCCGCCUACAAGUCCCGCCUCGGCGACCACCGCCUCGGCCCCUUCGAGCUCCCAGCCGCCAAAGAGACCAACAGCUCCGACCACCACUGCAGCAGCAACGCCGUCCAGCCGCCGGCGCGGGCGCCCCCUCACGUGGCAACAGUGUACUAG
rnacentral:rRNA from 1 species